AUGCCUCUCUCCACUUUAAUAUGGGUAAUCAUCCUCUCCAUCUUUCUUGGAGACAGCACAGCCAAAGAGGUGAUUCAACCACAACCAACAACAUCUGGACAGGAGAGAGAAGCUGUGACUCUGAAUUGCAAGUAUAACUUCAGUGACCGUAGUUAUUAUCUGUUCUGGUACAAACAGCCACCCAGUGGGGAGCUGAUUUUCCUAAUUCGUCAAGAAUCUUAUAACCCACAGAAUGCAAGGAAAGAUAGAUAUUCAGUGAACUUCCAGAAAUCAGACAAAUUCAUCAAUCUCACCAUCUCAGCCUUACAGCCGGAGGAUUCAGCAGUGUAUUUCUGUGCCCUCUAUGCAUCCACAGUGAUCAAUGUGAUAGGAGGAGAAGUACAGAAACAGGAGGGCCUCUGGGGGAAACAUGAAAGCCUAGACAGGAAGGAGCAGGGGUUUUCACCACAGCUGGGGAUCUUAAGAAGAAAGUGA